rnacentral:rRNA from 1 species
AGUGUAGGCGGUUACUUAAGUCGGAUGUGAAAUCCCCGGGCUCAACCUGGGAAUUGCAUUCGAUACUGGGUAGCUAGAGUUUGGUAGAGGUAAGUGGAAUUCCGGGUGUAGCGGUGAAAUGCGUAGAUAUCCGGAGGAACAUCAGUGGCGAAGGCGGCUUACUGGACCAAAACUGACGCUGAGGCUCGAAAGCGUGGGGAGCAAACAGGAUUAGAUACCUGGUAGUCC